AUUGAACGCUGGCGGCAUGCCUUACACAUGCAAGUCGAACGGCAGCACGGGGGCAACCCUGGUGGCGAGUGGCGAACGGGUGAGUAACACAUCGGAACGUGUCCUGUUGUGGGGGAUAACCAGUCGAAAGACUGGCUAAUACCGCAUGAGCUGGAGACAGGAAAGCGGGGGACCUGAAAGGGCCUCGUGCGAUUGGAGCGGCCGAUGUCCGAUUAGCUAGUUGGNGGGGUAAAGGCCCACCAAGGCGACGAUCGGUAGCUGGUCUGAGAGGAUGAUCAGCCACACUGGGACUGAGACACGGCCCAGACUCCUACGGAGGCAGCAGUGGGGAAUUUUGGACAAUGGGGGCAACCCUGAUCCAGCCAUGCCGCGUGAGUGAAGAAGGCCU
rnacentral:rRNA from 1 species